ACUGCCCGGACUUAGCUAAGCGCUGUCUGUGCAAGAGCUAGAGGCCAGAAGCCACACGGUUCUUACAUGAGAACAACUCGGUUGUCGUUGUAAUUCAUCUGUUGCUGAUAGAAAAACUAAUACAACCCAUAAAUAUCACCUGAUUAGAGACAGGAAGUCCUGGCAGGAAGCUCAGAGUUACUGCAGAGAGAAACACACAGACCUGAUCAGUGGAACGAAGCAACUAGAGGAUGAAGAAGUGAAGAAAUUGAUGAAUAUAUCUGGAUUUAUGGAUUAUUGGAUUUUACCAAUCUACAUUGGUCUGUUCAGUGACACCUGGAGGUGGUCAGAUGGAAGCAGUUUCUCUUUUGAACCCUGGUAUCUACAGUUUUACUAUCAACCCAACAGUUUUCGAUGUGCUGUGACUGUGUUUGAUGAUGGAGGCAGAUGGAGGAAAGAGAACUGCACUGAAAGAAAACCCUUCAUCUGUUAUGAUGAUAAAGUGAUCCUGAUCAAAGAAAAUAAAACUUGGCAUGAGGCCUUGACCUACUGCAGAAAGAACCACCAUGACCUGGUCACCAUCACCAACAUGGACGAUCAGAAAUGGAUCCAGGAGAAAGUCAAGAACGCAUCGACUGGUUAUGUCUGGAUUGGGCUGCGUUUCAGCUGCAGUAUGAAUGUUUGGUUCUGGGUUUGUGAUAACUGGACCUGGGAUGGUCAGAAGGAUGAUUGUAACAUGUUUGGAGCCAUGGAGGCAGGAGGAGAGUAUCGAUGGUUUCAAAGAAACGGCAGCGAGAGAUUUAACUUCGUCUGUACUAAUAAAUAAUUCUUCCUCUUCUUUUUAUUAUCAGCUUGUUUCACUUUGUGCAUCUUUUUGGGUUUAAUAAAAUUCACAAAACCACAUUUGAAUUUUGUCAACAGAUGAUCCAUUACGCAAAACUUUAAAUUAGAAAUUAUUUGCUUUAAAUGAAUUGUGGAGAAUUUAUGUUGUUUAUCUUGUCUAAUAUAUUGUAAAGACUUAUCUUGUUGCCUUUCUGAUAUUUCAUGAC